UGGCGGACCGUUUUUAAAUCAAUUUUUGUGCUCAUGCGUAGCUCAUACCGCUGAUCAGCAGAUCACAAAGGGAGAGAGAGGGUAGAGGAACCGAGGAGAGCUAACAGCGCUAAUGGCAACAGUGCAAACAGAGCAUUGGUUAGCUCCAUGGUUAGCUCACACACUUG